rnacentral:tmRNA from 1 species
GGGGCAGUAAGGGUUUUGACGGGAAGCUGUGGUUGCGCAUGUUGCGAGCCGAGGAUGCUAUUUGCCUCGUUAAUCACGAUAGCCAACGUCACAAAUGCAGACGUUACUAAAGCAUUGGAAGGCGUUCAGUGGAGCUUUGUGAAUAGCAGAGUUCUUUCUGGCGCUUUCGCCCGCGCUUAAUAACUUAAGUGCGCCGUCCGCCGGGUUGGCCGAUUAGCCCGGAUCCGGACGUUAUUUUGCGGCUACCUGCCUGGUUGCUCCGGUCGGCCGGGCGGGGAAACAAACUCCGGAUAGUCUGGGAAACACCUCGUUUCGGGUCAAAUUCCAGGCGAACUGAUAAACGAAGCUACGCUCGUAGCGGCAGGCGCAUCUGCCUUUCCGGACAGGGGUUCGACUCCCCUCUGCUCCAGAA